rnacentral:rRNA from 1 species
GAACAGGUGCUGCAUGGCUGUCGUCAGCUCGUGUCGUGAGAUGUUCGGUUAAGUCCGCUAACGAGCGCAACCCUCGCUGUGUGUUACAAGUGUCACACGGAACUGCCGGUCAUAAACCGGAGGAAGGUGGGGAUGACGUCAAGUCAGCAUGGCCUUUAUAUCCUGGGCUACACACACGCUACAAUGGGAAGGGACAAUAGGUUGCGAAGCCGCGAGGCGGAGCCAAUCCAGCAAAACUUCCCUCAGUUCAGAUUGCAGGCUGCAACUCGCCUGCAUGAAGUUGGAGUUGCUAGUAAACGCAGGUCAGCCAUACUGCGUUGAAUACGUUCCCGGGGCUU